rnacentral:tRNA from 1 species
AACUAUAUAUUUUAAGCAAAAAAAAUUAAAUUGCAAAUUUAAAAAUACAUUAUAUUGUUAUAGUUU